CCUCAUCCUCCCUUUCCGACAAGUGGAGGUCCUGAGCGCUGCCCCAGAAAGGGUGGAGGGAACGUUGUGGGUUGGAACACACACACCCGUGGGGGGCAGAAACUGGAGGACGCUACGGACAUCGCCAGCGUCCAGAGCUCUGUCCCUCCUUUCAGCUGCACCAUGUUCACCACCCUUGCGUUAGCACCCUGUGGGCCCAGAGCUGUCCCAGGGCUAAAAGACAAGGCGCUCUCGGAUGCUCGGCAGUCGCCUCUUCCUUUUUACUUUCGGGACGGGCACAGGCUCCCGCUUCCCCCAGCCGCUUUAGAUCAGGCGCCAGGGCCCUCUCGGGCAUCUCAACCCCGCCCCCAGGGUCAAAUGUGCGGCUCUCCUGGAACUCCUCUGAAAAAGGGACAAACUUUUGAGUGGACGGAAAUCUUGAGGACCCUGUCUGAAGCAGGGGUCUUAUUUCCCUUGGGUGAAGAGGCUGUCGGAUUCUGGCUCCUGAAAACCAGAACAUGGAUUGCCCCUAUCAGACAGCACCCCUGCCCUGCCAGAAUCCACAUCUGCCGAGGAAAGAAAAGUGGCCCAAUCCAGGUGACUGUGGAAAGGGCUGGACUAUCUACCCACACCCAUUUCUCUACUCCCUCCUGGCCCUGAAAAGAAGGAGAGAACCCAAUGAACUUCAGAGGAGCCCGGAUCUCGGCCUAUGAAACAGACAUGGGGAACAAAGCUUGCUGGCAAACAGCUCCUCCUCUGAGCUCCUUGCUGUUCUCAGUUUUGUGUGGUUUUCAUUGCCCCCUCCCCAGGUUUGCAGACAGGAUGGUGAAUGUUUAACCCCACCCUCCAGUCUCUCUCCCUGUGCUCCCGGCAACCUCAAAGCUGGGGGGGGGGGGGGCAGCUUCCAGCCCUGCCAACAAUCUGAGAAAAUUCAAAUUCUCUUCUAAGAAGGGCAGCCGCUUUCUUCUCUGUUCUCCCUGCGCACACUGAUCUGUUGUGAGGGCACCUGGGUCAGAAGAGAGCGAAGACUGUUUUAAUUGGUCUAGAAUUAGCAUUUCCUAACACCAAGGCCAGGAUUUCCACACCCAGGAACAAGAGGUCUUUGCCCAGACCCAUGCCUGUUCUGGGCAAUGGUGUGCACAUUUGCUAAGGUGGAGAACGAGGAGGGCAAUGAACAGUUUUGUCCAUUUUGCACCCAGUGCUUUAGCGGUCAUGCUUAAUGCUUUCUUUUGUACUCAUCUCGGGCAAAGCAUCGCCUCUACCUCAGUGUGUUGUGGACAGAUAGACAAAUAAACAAAAGGAAAAAAGGAAA